GCUUCGGCGGGCGGCGCCCUCGCGCGCCCCCCUGGGGCCCGCACCGCGGGCGCCCGCCGGAGGUACACCAAACUCUUGAUAUGUUAUGGCCACUCUGAGUCUCCUGUACUGAAUAAGUCAAAACCUUCAACAACGGAUCUCUUGGUUCUGGCAUCGAUGAAGAACGCAGCGAAAUGCGAUAAGUAAUGUGAAUUGCAGAAUUCAGUGAAUCAUCGAAUCUUUGAACGCACAUUGCGCCCGCCAGCAUCCUGGCGGGCAUGCCUGUUCGAGCGUCAUUUCAACCCAUCAAGCCCACGGCUUGUGUUGGGGACCUGCGGCUGCCCGCAGGCCCUUGAAAACCAGUGGCGGGGCUCGCUAGUCACACCGGGCGGUAGUAGCAUACGACCUCCGCUCAGGGCCGUGGCUGCGGGUUCCAGCCCGUAAAACCGACCUUCAGAACCCAAGGUUUGACCCUCGGAUCAGGGUAGGGAGGAACCCGCUUGAACUUUAAGCAAUAUCAAAUUAAAGCGGAGGGAAA
rnacentral:rRNA from 1 species